CCUACGGGUGGCAGCAGUGAGGAAUAUUGGUCAAUGGGCGGGAGCCUGAACCAGCCAAGUCGCGUGAGGGAAGACGGUCCUACGGAUUGUAAACCUCUUUUGCCGGGGAGCAACGGGGUCCUUGCGAGGGCCCGACGAGAGUACCCGGAGAAAAAGCAUCGGCUAACUCCGUGCCAGCAGCCGCGGUAAUACGGAGGAUGCGAGCGUUAUCCGGAUUUAUUGGGUUUAAAGGGUGCGUAGGCGGGACGUUAAGUCAGCGGUAAAAUUGCGGUGCUCAACGCCGUAGAGCCGUUGAAACUGGGGUUCUUGAGUGAGCGAGAAGUAUGCGGAAUGCGUGGUGUAGCGGUGAAAUGCAUAGAUAUCACGCAGAACCCCGAUUGCGAAGGCAGCAUACCGGCGCUCAACUGACGCUGAGGCACGAAAGUGCGGGUAUCGAACAGGAUUAGAUACCCGUGUAGUC
rnacentral:rRNA from 1 species